CGACCUGAGAUCAGACGAGA
rnacentral:rRNA from 1 species